GAUGAACGCUGGCGGCGUGCCUAAUACAUGCAAGUCGAGCGAACAGACGAGGAGCUUGCUCCUCUGACGUUAGCGGCGGACGGGUGAGUAACACGUGGAUAACCUACCUAUAAGACUGGGAUAACUUCGGGAAACCGGAGCUAAUACCGGAUAAUAUAUUGAACCGCAUGGUUCAAUAGUGAAAGACGGUUUUGCUGUCUCUUAUAGAUGGAUCCGCGCCGCAUUAGCUAGUUGGUAAGGUAACGGCUUACCAAGGCAACGAUGCGUAGCCGACCUGAGAGGGUGAUCGGCCACACUGGAGCUGAGACACGGUCCAGACUCCUACGGGAGGCAGCAGUAGGGAAUCUGCCGCAAUGGGCGAAAGCCUGACGGAGCAACGCCGCGUGAGUGAUGAAGGUCUUCGGAUCGUAAAACUCUGUUAUUAGGGAAGAACAAAUGUGUAAGUAACUAUGCACGUCUUGACGGUACCUAAUCAGAAAGCCACGGCUAACUACGUG
rnacentral:rRNA from 1 species